rnacentral:tmRNA from 1 species
GACGUGAUACGCUCAUUAACAUCGGCAGACCGUCUUCGAUCCAUAGACGUAAAACAGGUUCAAAACACAACUGCAAAUUCAUUUGUCAGUAAAGCUCGUGAAACAGUGAACAACUUUGUUGCUUCAUUAUUCCCUGCUCCAAAUUACGCUUUUGCGUAAAAUGGCAUUCAUUCGCCCGUUCUCACUGAUGACGGCGGAUGGGUGAAAACCCAAUCAGUGUGACAAUCGUCUCGUUCUAUCCGAGAUGAAAUAAGCCUUUGAUAGAGAUCGCUGGGUCGAGUUUGGUUACUCUCCUCAUUCAGCCUUAAUCAAAGAGUAACCUACGUCUGUAGAUGUUGUUAGUGUUCUGUUGCGGACAGGGGUUCAUUACCCCUCAUCUCCACCA